UACGGGGGGAGCAAGCGUUGUUCGGAUUUACUGGGCGUAAAGGGCGCGUAGGCGGUCGUGACAAGUCACUUGUGAAAUCUCCGGGCUUAACUCGGAAAGGUCAAGUGAUACUGUCGGACUAGAGUACAGAAGGGGCAACCGGAAUUCUUGGUGUAGCGGUGAAAUGCGUAGAUAUCAAGAGGAACACCUGAGGCGAAGGCGGGUUGCUAGGCUGACACUGACGCUGAGGCGCGAAAGCUAGGGUAGCAAACGGG
rnacentral:rRNA from 1 species